AAUUUUUGAAGCUUCGGCCGAUGAAAUCGAUUGGAAUUUGCCGGGAGCGGCGAACGAGUGAGUAACACGUUGGCAAUCUGCCCCGUACACAGGAAUAACAUCGAGAAAUCGGUGCUAAUACCGGAUAGUCAUGAGGGGACUUAAAGUCAUUCUCAUGUAAAGCUUCGGCGGUACGGGAGGAGCCUGCGGCCUAUCAGCUAGUUGGUGAGGUAAUAGCUCACCAAGGCGACGACGGGUAACUGGCGUGAGAGCGCGACCAGUCACGAUGGGACUGAGACACGGCCCAUACUCCUACGGGAGGCAGCAGUCGGGAAUAUUCCACAAUGGGCGAAAGCCUGAUGGAGCGACACCGCGUGCAGGACGAAGGCCUUCGGGUUGUAAACUGCUUUUAUGAGUUAGAAAAUUUUGAUCAACUUAUGAAUAAGUGGCGGCUAUCACGUGCCAGAAGCCUCGGUAAAGCGUGAGCCACAAGUGUUAUCCGGAAUUACUGGGCGUAAAGGGUCCGCAGCCGGAUUGGUAAGUCGGAUGUUAAAUCGCGGGGCUCAACUCCGCGUUCGUGUCCGAAACUAUUAAUCUAGAGCCAGUCAGGGGUGUAUGGAAUUCCUGGAGUAGGGGUGACAUCCGUAGAUACCAGGAGGAACACCAAAAGCGAAGGCAGUACACUGGGACUUGGCUGACGGUCAGGGACGAAAGCGUGGGGAGCAAAAAGGAUUAGAUACCCUUGUAGUCCACGCUGUAAACGAUGGGUGCUAGGCGUUACCAUCUCGACAAUGGUAGUGCCCAAGCUAACGCGUUAAGCACCCCGCCUGUGAACUACGGCCGCAAGGCUAAAACAUAAAGGAAUAGACGGGGACCCACACAAGCGGAGCGUGCUGUUUAAUUCGAUGCAAAACGAAGAACCUCACCAGGACUUGACAUCUUCCGAAAUCUUUGGAAACAAGGAUGUGCCUUCGGGAACGGAAUGACAGGUGCUGCACGGUCGUCGUCAGCUCGUGCCUUGAGGUGUCGAGUUAAGUCUUUUAACGAGCGCAACCCUCACCAUGUGUUGUACUUUUCACAUGGGACUGCCGUCGUAAGGCGGAGGAAGGAGAGGAUGACGUCAGAUCAGCAUCCCCCUUAUGUCCUGGGCUACUGGCGCGCUACAAUGGCUGGUACAGAGAGCAGCAAUCUCGCGAGAGGGAGCCAAUCUUUAAAACCAGUCUCAGUCCGGAUUGAAGUCUGCAAUUCGACUUCAUGAAGUUGGAAUCGCUAGUAAUCGCAAAUCAGAAUGUUGCGGUGAAUGUGUCCCUGGGUCUUGUACUCACCGCC
rnacentral:rRNA from 1 species